UUAUUGGAGAGUUUGAUCCUGGCUCAGGACGAACGCUGGCGGCAUGCCUAAUACAUGCAAGUCGAGCGGAGUUGA
rnacentral:rRNA from 1 species